rnacentral:rRNA from 1 species
GCAGUCGACGGCUUCAUCGAGGAGCUUGCUUCGCGCUGGCGAGUGACGAACGGGUGAGUAAUAUAUCGGAACCUGCCCAUUAGCGGGGGAUAACUACUCGAAACACUGGCUAAUACCGCGUACUUCCUACGGAAGAAAGCAGGGGACCUUCGGGCCUUGCACUAUUGGAGUGGCCGAUAUGGGAUUAGCUAGUUGGUGGGGUAAAGGCCUACCAAGGCAACCAUCCGUAGCUGGUUUGAGAGGACGACCAGCCACACUGGGACUGAGACACGGCCCAGACUCCUACGGGAGGCAGCAGUGGGGAAUUUUGGACAAUGGGGGAAACCCUGAUCCAGCCAUCCCGCGUGUGCGAUGAAGGCCUUCGGGUUGUAAAGCACUUUUGUCAGGAAAGAACUCGCCCGGGAUAAUACCUCGGGUGAAUGACGGUACCUGAAGAAUAAGCACCGGCUAACUACGUGCCACCAGCCGAGGUAAUACGUAGGGUGCAAGCGUUAAUCGGAAUUACUGGGCGUAAAGCGUGCGCAGGCGGUUCAGAAAGAAAGAUGUGAAAUCCCAGGGCUUACCUUGGAACUGCGUUUUAACUCCGGGCUAGAGUGAGCCAGAGGGGGUGGAAUUCCACGUUCAAGUCCUCAUGGCCCUUAUGGCCAGGGCUUCACACGUCAUACAAUGGUGGGACAGAGGGUUGCCAAACCGCGAGGUGGAGCUAAUCUCAGAAAGCCCGAUCGUAGUCCGGAUUGUAGUCUGCAACUCGACUACAUGAAGUCGGAAUCGCUAGUAAUCGCGGAUCAGAAUGUCGCGGUGAAUACGUUCCCGGGUCUUGUACACACCGCCCGUCACACCAUGGGAGUUGGUUACCCCAGAAGUAGGUAGCCUAACCGCAAGGAGGCAGACUACCACGGUAGGAUACAUGACUGGGUGAAGUCGAACAAGAGCCAUAGC